CAGUAGCCGCGGGAACACGUAGGGUGCAAGCGUUAAUCGGAAUUACUGGGCGUAAAGCGUGCGCAGGCGGUUAUAUAAGUCAGAUGUGAAAUCCCCGGGCUCAACCUGGGAACUGCAUUUGAGACUGUAUGGCUAGAGUGUGUCAGAGGGGGGUAGAAUUCCACGUGUAGCAGUGAAAUGCGUAGAUAUGUGGAGGAACACCAGUGGCGAAGGCGGCCCGCUGGACAUGUAUUGACGCUGAGGUGCGAAAGCGUGGGGAGCAAACAGGAUUAGAGACCCGCGUAGUCCCUGUCUCUUAUAA
rnacentral:rRNA from 1 species